rnacentral:rRNA from 1 species
GAUAAACGCUAGCGGCAGGCUUAACACAUGCAAGUCGAGGGGCAGCAUAGAUUGUAGCAAUACGAUUGGUGGCGACCGGCGCACGGGUGCGUAACGCGUAUGCAACCUACCCGUCACAGGGGGAUAAUCCGGAGAAAUCUGGUCUAAUACCCCAUAACAUAUGGAUCGGCAUCGGUUCAUGUUGAAAUUUUCGGAGGUGACGGAUGGGCAUGCGUAGCAUUAGCUUGUUGGUGAGGUAACGGCUCGCCAAGGCGACGAUGCUUAGGGGGACUGAGAGGUUUUCCCCCCACACUGGUACUGAGACACGGACCAGACUCCUACGGGAGGCAGCAGUGAGGAAUAUUGGUCAAUGGGCGCAAGCCUGAACCAGCCAUGCCGCGUGCAGGAUGACGGCUCUAUGAGUUGUAAACUGCUUUUGUACGAGGGUAAAGUGGGUUACGUGUAACCUUUUGAAAGUAUCGUACGAAUGAGGAUCGGCUAACUCCGUGCCAGCCGCCGCAGUAA